rnacentral:pre_miRNA from 1 species
UGCGCGGCGCACAAUGGAUUUCCCUCAGCACUUUCGGGGCGUCUUUUGUGCAAAUCCAUGCAAA